GCCUUUCAUUGAAGGGAGCCGCGAGUUUCAAAUGCAGCGGCGUUUGCCAUGAUUCCCUGGGCCUGGCUUUCAGCGUAGCAAUUCUUCCGGCGAAGAAGGUGAGCGCAGUGCUGUGUGGCGGCAGAGCUGAGGACGAGGAGCAGCGGGACAAGGAAGGGCGACUCUGGUGAAAUCGCAAACUAGGUAUCUGUUCCGGCGCGGGACCCCUGUAUGCAAAGGUCCAUGGCUAAUGAAACACAGAAAGUUGGUACCAUCCAUUUUCCUUUUCCCUUCACGCCCUAUUCCAUCCAGGAAGACUUCAUGGCAGAGCUUUACCGGGUUUUGGAGGCUGGCAAGAUUGGGAUAUUUGAGAGUCCAACUGGCACUGGAAAGUCCUUAAGUCUUAUUUGUGGAGCCCUCUCCUGGCUCCGUGACUUUGAACAGAAGAAGCGUGAGGAAGAGGCACGACUCCUUGAAACUGGAACUGGCCCCUUACAUGAUGAGAAAGAUGAAUCCCUGUGUCUGUCGUCUUCCUGCAAAGGGGCCGCAGCCACCCCGAGGCCUGCUGGAGAGCCGGCCUGGGUGACUCAGUUUGUGCAGAAGAAAGAAGAGAGGGACCUGGUGGAUCGACUAAAGGCGGAGCAGGCCAGGAGGAAGCAGCGAGAAGAACGCCUGCAGCAGCUGCAGCACAGGGCGCAGUUCAAAUAUGCAGCCAAGCGCCUGAGGCAGGAAGAAGAAGAAACGGAGAAUCUCCUCCGCCUCAGCAGAGAGAUGCUAGAGACAGGCCCGGGGGCUGAGCGGCCGGAGCAGCUGGAGUCUGGGGAGGAGGAGCUGGUCCUUGCCGAAUACGAGAGCGACGAGGAGAAAAAGGCAGCGAGCGGAGUGGAUGAGGAUGAGGAUGACCUGGAGGAAGAACAUGUAACUAAGAUUUAUUACUGUAGUCGGACACACUCCCAGCUGGCCCAGUUUGUGCAUGAGGUGAAGAAGAGCCCCUUUGGCAAGGAUGUUCGGCUGGUCUCCCUUGGCUCCCGGCAGAACCUUUGUGUCAAUGAAGACGUGAAAAGCCUAGGUUCUGUGCAGCUUAUCAACGAUCGCUGUGUGGACAUGCAGAGAAGCAGGCACGAGAAGAAGAAAGGAGCUGAGGAGGAGAAGCCAAAGAGAAGGAGGCAGGAGAAGCAGGCGGCCUGCCCCUUCUACAACCACGAGCAGAUGGGCCUCCUCCGGGAUGAGGCCCUGGCAGAGGUGAAGGACAUUGAGCAGCUGCUGGCCCUUGGGAAGGAGGCCCGGGCCUGUCCCUAUUAUGGGAGCCGCCUUGCCAUCCCUGCAGCCCAGCUGGUGGUGCUGCCCUAUCAGAUGCUGCUGCAUGCUGCCACUCGGCAGGCUGCGGGCAUCCGGCUGCAGGCACAGGUGGUGAUCAUCGACGAAGCGCACAACCUGAUAGACACCAUCACGGGCAUGCACAGCGUGGAGGUCAGCGGCUCUCAGCUCUGCCAGGCCCAUUCCCAGCUGCUGCAGUACAUGGAGCGAUACGGGAAGCGUUUGAAGGCCAAGAACCUGAUGUACCUGAAGCAGAUCCUGUAUUUGCUGGAGAAAUUCGUGGCCGUGCUGGGGGGGAACAUUAAGCAAAAUCCCAAUACACAGAGCCUCUCACAGACAGGGACAGAGCUGAAGACCAUCAACGAUUUUCUCUUCCAGAGCCAGAUUGACAACAUCAACCUGUUCAAGGUGCAGCGAUACUGUGAGAAGAGCAUGAUCAGCAGAAAGCUCUUUGGAUUCACAGAACGGUAUGGAGCAGUGCUCUCAUCCCGGGAGCAGCCCAAACUGGCUGGGUUUCAGCAAUUCCUGCAGAGCCUGCAGCCCAGGACGACUGAAGCUCCUGCAGCCCCCGCAGACGAGAGUCAGGCUAGCGCCCCGCGACCAGCUUCCCCACUGAUGCACAUCGAAGGCUUCCUGGCAGCUCUCACUACAGCCAACCAGGACGGCAGGGUCAUCCUGAGCCGCCAAGGCAGCCUCAGUCAGAGCACCCUUAAGUUUUUGCUCCUGAAUCCAGCUGUGCACUUUGCCCAAGUGGUGAAGGAGUGCCGGGCAGUGGUCAUUGCAGGGGGAACCAUGCAGCCGGUGUCUGACUUCCGGCAGCAGCUGCUGGCCUGUGCCGGGGUGGAAGCUGAACGCGUGGUGGAGUUUUCCUGUGGUCACGUGAUCCCUCCAGACAAUAUCCUGCCCCUUGUCAUCUGCAGCGGGAUCUCCAACCAGCCGCUGGAAUUCACGUUCCAGAAAAGAGAGCUGCCUCAGAUGAUGGACGAGGCGGGUCGCAUCCUCUGUAACCUGUGCAGUGUGGUUCCUGGAGGGGUGGUCUGUUUCUUCCCCUCCUACGAGUACCUGCGCCAAGUCCAUGCCCACUGGGAGAAGGGUGGCCUGCUGGGCCGCCUGGCUGCCAGGAAGAAGAUAUUCCAGGAACCUAAGAGCGCGCACCAGGUGGAGCAGGUGCUGCUGGCAUAUUCCAGGUGCAUUCAGGCCUGUGGCCAGGAGAGAGGCCGGGUGACGGGGGCCCUUCUCCUCUCUGUUGUUGGAGGAAAGAUGAGUGAAGGGAUCAACUUCUCUGACAACCUAGGCCGGUGUGUGGUGAUGGUGGGCAUGCCCUUCCCCAACAUCAGGUCUCCAGAGCUGCAGGAGAAGAUGGCCUACUUGGAUCAAACCCUCCCCAGAGCCCCAGGCCAGGCGCCCCCAGGGAAGAAUCUGGUGGAGAACCUGUGCAUGAAGGCCGUCAACCAGUCCAUAGGCAGGGCCAUCAGGCACCAGAAGGAUUUUGCCAGCAUAGUGCUCCUGGACCAGCGAUACGCCCGGCCCCCUGUCCUGGCCAAGCUGCCGGCCUGGAUCCGAGCCCGUGUGGAGGUUAAAGCUACCUUUGGCCCUGCCAUUGCUGCUGUGCAGAAGCAUCACAUGGGUCUUUGUUACAGCACCAGCCAAUCGGUCCAGGAAGACAGACUUCUUGUAUCUCCAGGGGCGACGUGGAAGUCAGGCAAGCCGGCAUCUGCUGUCCCGAGACCAUGUUCCUGA
ensembl:lncRNA